AUGGCGCAGCACGACUGGCGAGGGUGGGUCACCACCGGGGAGUGCGAGCAGAGCAGGCAUCGCCCGCCUGGGUGCCCCUC
rnacentral:ncRNA from 2 species